rnacentral:rRNA from 1 species
CCGGGCCUACGGGGGGCAGCAGUAGGGAAUCUUCCACAAUGGACGAAAGUCUGAUGGAGCAACGCCGCGUGAGUGAAGAAGGGUUUCGGCUCGUAAGGCUCUGUUGGUAGUGAAGAAAGAUAGAGGUAGUAACUGGCCUUUAUUUGACGGUAAUUACUUAGAAAGUCACGGCUAACUACGUGCCAGCAGCCGCGGUAAUACGUAGGUGGCAAGCGUUGUCCGGAUUUAUUGGGCGUAAAGCGAGUGCAGGCGGUUCAAUAAGGCUGAUUGGAAAGCCUUUGG